CAGCCUGGGCCUUUAAGCGUCAGAGUACAUUUCUUGGCAAAGUGCAACUCUUGACUCUCCCCCUUCGUCUUCCAUACACAAAGCAUGCGUUUUCUAUGGCUCGGUGAUGCUGUGGACAUCUAAUAGACUGAUUUUCCUGUGAAUGGCUCUUGACUUCAGACCCGGAUAGCUACAGAGCAAGAUGAAAACGUCACAAGCUCUGUUGGGGAGGUCUCAUCCCAGGCCACAGCUUUGAGAGUUCUCAAGAGAUCUGGUGGUUUAAUGGUGUGUGGCACCCCCACCCUCGCUUUUCCUUCUGCUCCAGCCAUAUGAGAUGUGCCUGCUUCGUCUUUACCUUCCUCCAUGACUGAAAGUUUCCUG
rnacentral:lncRNA from 1 species